rnacentral:rRNA from 1 species
UACAGAGGGAGCGAGCGUUAUCCGGAAUGAUUGGGCGUAAAGCGUCUGUAGGUGGUUUAGAAAGUCUGCUGUCAAAUACCAAGGCUUAACCUUGGGCAGGCAGUAGAGUACUUUUAGACUAGAGUGUGGUAGAGGUAGAGGGAAUCCCUAGCGUAACAGUGAAAUGUGUAGAUUUUAGGGAGAACACCAGCGGCGAAGGCGCUCUACUGGGCCAAGACUGACACUGAGAGACGAAAGCUAGGGGAGCGAAUAG